GAAUGAAUUUACCUACAGAGGUAUACAUAGAUUUCUGGAUGGUGCUAGAUGGAUGGAGCACUGCUCUGCCACAGGCCAGUCAUGUCUGAUCGCCCAUCCUCACCAGCUUCAGUCCGGGCCAGGUUCUUGGCCUUGAGUGGGGUUUCAUCUGAUUCAUGCCUGGAUUAUAGUCACUCACGCACGACACCUAGACCAGUCAGAUGUUCACUAUAGUUAAAUUAGAUGUGACCACAGAUGGAGGAAGCCUGGCAUCUGCAUCACAACAUGGAAGGAGUGAUCUGCCCAUGGGGAACAAUGCUUUGAUGUCUGAUAACUGAUUGCAUCCACUGCUGGAGCUCCAUUCUCACUGAUGGGGUUAGAGGUUGGAAGAGCACUUAAAUAUGUCCCUUCAAGGUUCUCAUGGCUGCUCCUCUUUAGAACAGCAUCCAUUUCUGAAUACUUGCUUGCUAGUUGUCCAGCUUUUCCAUCAUCUAAACACUGUUUAUCUGAAUGUUUCAGCUGUUUUCUAAGACCUUCAAUAAGACAGGUUGCAGCACUCUGCAAUUACAAGCUGCUAUUUAGAUGUGCUCUCCACCAUACAUUCACGAUUGUUUCUCACCAUUUUGUGUUUGAAGCUACAAUGGCAAUCAGACCCCCUCCUUCUAAACUAGAUGAAGCUGCACAGGAGAGGAGAGUAGCAGUCACUCAUUUCACUAAGUAGCCAUACUAGUGUUCACCUCAUGAGAUAUGAUUGGGUUCCUCACUGGCUCAGUUGCUUUCCCUCAAAUUAGCCCUGAGAAGUGAAUGACAGGAAGCCAGCAACGCAAACCAGAAUGGCAGGCUGAGGAAGAAAGCCAUUUAAGCCUCAGGCUAAGUCAAAUACAGGUAAGGCCAGAACCCUGCCGGUAGGGCACUUUAUUACCAGCACCUGCAGCCUCUUUCCCAUCCUGCUAAGUGUUGAGCCCCUAUCUGAAAUGGCACCAUAGUUUGUUCAGGAGAAGGGAGACAACUAUAGUGAAUCACUCAUCUACCACCUCCAUGCCCACCCACCACCUUUUGGGGUCAUACAGCAGACAAAAAUCAGGCAGAUACUUCUUGUCCCCUGACAGGGUACCAGCCCAUGUUCUUUACCCAACCAAAGAGAUAGAAAAUAAUUCCCCACUCUUUCAGUGGUUUAAGGCUCUCGGUUAUUCUUAGUUUAUUGACAAGUGUGUGUGUGUGUGUGUGUGUGUGUGUGUGUGUGUGUGUAUACAAAAAGCAAGAGCUUUCCCUUGCCUUUUGCUGAUAUGACAAUAACUAGCUAGGCCUGGGGCACCUGGGUUACUCAGUUGGUUAAGCAUCUGACUCUUGAUUUCAUCUCAGGUCACAAUCACAGGGUUGUGAGAUUGAGCCCCAUGUAGGACUGCUUGGGGGUCCAUGACCGCUGGGCAUGGAAACUGCUUGAGAUAUCUCUCCCUCUGCUC
rnacentral:lncRNA from 12 species